ACCAGCAUUCUGUACUGUAGAGGAGUUGUUGAUUUAGUAAAAAUCUCCAAAUCAUGCUGCUUUUCCUCACAACCAUAGUAUCCCUUUGGCUUCUGAUAAUGUCUUCCUUAAUAUCCCCUGGAUGGAUGCCACCUUCAGCAUGCAAGAAAUUCCCCUCUCCCACAAAUGGAUUUUUGUACUGUUGAUCUGACUACUGUAUUGUUUGUUGCAAAGAUGGUUUCCAGUUUGAGAAUGAACCUGCAAGUGGCUAUUUCUGCCAUCCAACAGGAGUGUGGACUGCUGUGCCACCUGAAAAAAGUGUCCCUUGGCUUAACUGCACAUUGAAAGGACACGGCUGUGUGCACCUGGGUUAUUCCCAGGAUAUGCUGUGAUAUGCACUCUCUCCAGCUACCUACUGGUGAAGGAGCAUCAAGGCAAUGCGGGACAGUAGCAUGUGUAAAUGAUUUUGCCAUGCCUGUUUUGAUCCAGUACAAAUGCCAGGACAACCAGGCCUGCAUCAAAUGUGAUACCUAGUUACAUCCUUAGAUGUGUUCAACCUUAGUCCCACUGGAGCCAGUGGGAGCUUUACCACUGAGAAUGGCAAAUUAUAGGCAACCUUGCUAGAACAAGCCCUUUUUCUUAUGCUUAGUUCUGGCAAGAUUUUAAUGAACUUUUAGGGGCUAGUAAGCCUUCGCAGAAACAAGUAGAGAAUGAAAUAUGGAUAACAACACACAUAGGCAGUACCAUGUUCUCAUUAAUAUGGAAUGUAAAGAGGCAUAUAAAGACCACGCUUAUGUCUUUUUAUGUAUGUUUUUGAUGGAAUAAGAGUAUUGUUAUAUCUGUGAUACACUAAAAGAUUAUGCAAUAUGUCAUAGGGACACACUGAACUUGAUUAAAAGAUAUAUGCAUGGGUAAUCCCAAUGAGGUGAAUAUGACUAUUCAAGUAAACCACAGCUUUCCAGGAGGAAUAAAUAAUUUACUUUUUGUCCCAUAAUAUAAUUUUUAUAAGAAGUAUUUGUGCUAACAUUUGCAUUUAUUUAUGCCUAAAUGGCAUCUGAACUCUACUAAGAACCUGGUCAUUAAUGUGUGCUGAGCAUUUCAAAAUCUAGACCUCAGGUUUCUUGAAAAUCUGUCACAAACUGAGCAUGAAUAAUAUAAAUGAAAAGGGGGGACCCCUGCACUUUUCACCCAACAUCAACCUCACACACAUUUCUAAGUUAAUCUUUUUUUGUUCACAGCAUAAAUACUGGGCUAUUUAAAUAUAGUAGCAAUCAUAAUGUUGACACAAGAACUGAUUUGAUCAAGAACAGUGGUAUCAAUAGACACUUCAGCACAUCGCUUUUUUCUUCCAGUGCAGCACCCCUCUCUCAACAGACAGGAGCUAGUGGUAUUUGUUGCAAUAUGUCACUUGAUGUUAUUGCAUUGAAAAGUGGCCCAGUACCUGAAAAGCAACGAUGAUAUGAAAUGUAAGAAGGAAAUGGGCCAAAACAAAAGAGGAAAACAUGUAAAAAUGAAAAUUUUAUUCAUACAAGUUCUGGAUAGAGCAUUGAUACAUUGUCUGGACUGCCUGUCCAAACUGAGCUUGAGCUCUUAAACCUUUUCGAGCUUUGUGUAUCAAUAGGCAAUAUUGAAGUGUCAUUGAAGUGAUCUGUGCCAUGUAUGUACACAGUGUUACUCAGAAUAAA